GAUGAACGCUGGCGGCGUGCCUAAUACAUGUAAGUCGAGCGAAUGGAUUAAGAGCUUGCUCUUAUGAAGUUAGCGGCGGACGGGUGAGUAACACGUGGGUAACCUGCCCAUAAGACUGGGAUAACUCCGGGAAACCGGGGCUAAUACCGGAUAACAUUUUGAACCGCAUGGUUCGAAAUUGAAAGGCGGCUUCGGCUGUCACUUAUGGAUGGACCCGCGUCGCAUUAGCUAGUUGGUGAGGUAACGGCUCACCAAGGCAACGAUACGUAGCCGACCUGAAAGGGUGAUCGGCCACACUGGGACUGAGACACGGCCCAGACUCCUACGGGAGGCAGCAGUAGGGAAUCUUCCGCAAUUGACGAAAGUCUGACGGAGCAACGCCGCGUGAGUGAUGAAGGCUUUCGGGUCGUAAAACUCUGUUGUUAGGGAAGAACAAGUGCUAGUUGAAUGAGCUGGCACCUUGACGGUACCUAACCAGAAAGCCACGGCUAACUACGUGCCAGCCGCCGCCGUAA
rnacentral:rRNA from 1 species